UCCCUGGUGGACUAGUGGUUAGGCCACAGCACUCUCACCACUGCGGCCCGGGUUCGAUUGCAGCCACUGGGGUU